AGAGUUGAUUAUGGCUCAGGAUGAACGCUAGCGACAGGCUAACACAUGCAAGUCGAGGGGCAGCAUAAAAGUAGCAAUACUUGGUGGCGACCGGCGCACGGGUGAGUAACGCGUAUGCAACCUACCUAUCAGAGGGGAAUAACCCGGCGAAAGUCGGACUAAUACCGCAUAAAACAGGGACACCGCAUGGUGAUAUUUGUUAAAGAAAUUCGCUGAUAGAUGGGCAUGCGUUCCAUUAGGUAGUUGGUGAGGUAACGGCUCACCAAGCCGACGAUGGAUAGGGGAACUGAGAGGUUGGUCCCCCACACUGGUACUGAGACACGGACCAGACUCCUACGGGAGGCAGCAGUGAGGAAUAUUGGUCAAUGGGCGAGAGCCUGAACCAGCCAAGUCGCGUGAAAGGAAGAAGGAUCUAUGGUUCGUAAACUUCUUUUGCAGGGGAAUAAAGUGCAGGACGUGUCCUGUUUUGUAUGUACCCUGAGAAUAAGGAUCGGCUAACUCCGUGCCAGCCGCAGC
rnacentral:rRNA from 1 species